rfam:Gossypium arboreum cultivar AKA8401 contig_32421_1, whole genome shotgun sequence.
AACCCAUAGUGAGAGCACCAUCUCAAUAAGUCCUUAUACCCCUCUCAUGCAUCAUAUAGGGUUUUUAAGUUGAUCUACACGAAGAAAGAGAUAUCAUUCCUCAACUU